UACGUAGGGUGCGAGCGUUAAUCGGAAUUACUGGGCGUAAAGCGUGCGCAGGCGGGCUUUUAAGCCAGACGUGAAAUCCCCGGGCUUAACCUGGGAAUGGCGUUUGGGACUGGGAGUCUGGAGUGCGGCAGAGGAGACUGGAAUUCCUGGUGUAGCAGUGAAAUGCGUAGAUAUCAGGAGGAACACCGGUGGCGAAGGCGGGUCUCUGGGCCGAUACUGACGCUGAGGAGCGAAAGCGUGGGGAGCGAACAGG
rnacentral:rRNA from 1 species